AAGGAUCAUUACACAUAUGAAGGAGGGGGUCAGUCCCCAGAGCGCUGCCUCUUAGCGGCCUCUGGGUCUGCCCUUUCUGAUUAUUCUACCCAUGUCUUUUGCGCACUCUUCGUUUCCUCGGUGGGCUUGCCUGCCGAUAGGACACUAUAAAACCUUUUGUAAUUGCAGUCAGCGUCAGAAAAACUUUUAAUAGUUACAACUUUCAACAACGGAUCUCUUGGUUCUG
rnacentral:misc_RNA from 1 species